AAAAAGGAUUUUUUAAAAUCCCCAGAUAACAAUGUAAAAUUUUAAAG
rfam:Mustela putorius furo unplaced genomic scaffold scaffold00030, whole genome shotgun sequence.